ensembl:lncRNA
UGGUUGCCCCUGCAGUGGUCCUGCUCAAUUUCUGACUGCAAAAGUGUCCUGUGUCUGGUAUCCCACUGCAAGAGUGUCCUGGUCCACCUCACUGACCUGCCAGCCAUGAAACGGUGCACUCUGCAUUUGCAUUUCUGCACAAGAUCCCGGUAAUCUUCAAGAGAACAAGCCCCAUUUAGAUAUGGAGAGAAGACGAAAUCCCUGAAGUCAAGUGCAUCACCAUCAGUGUUCGUCACACAGAAAGGGAAAGGAGACUCAACAACAGCACACUGCUGCUACAACAACUAGCACACAGCUUGCUCGACUGUCCAAAACGGCAGUCUGCAUCUGCCCUCCUUAUAACCCCUGUGGCACCAAUCGGGCAUCGCGCACAGCUGUGCUCGCUCAUCCGCUGCAGCUGGCAAGCAGGGAAAAAGAGCAGCACCCGAGUAGACACUGGGGACACAGGGAUGAGCCCAGCAACAACAACAACAAUAACACAUCACGUGACAGCAUGGAUGGACACCCUACCUUCAGCUGGCUUGUAGCGCCGACGCUGUGAACAUCAAUGAAUAACAAUAUGUUUGUGGACUCUACCUUGGAAGGAGC